GGCCGCGGGAAUUCGAUUCAGGCCUAACACAUGCAAGUCGAGCGGUAGAGAGAAGCUUGCUUCUCUUGAGAGCGGCGGACGGGUGAGUAAUGCCUAGGAAUCUGCCUGGUAGUGGGGGAUAACGUUCGGAAACGGACGCUAAUACCGCAUACGUCCUACGGGAGAAAGCAGGGGACCUUCGGGCCUUGCGCUAUCAGAUGAGCCUAGGUCGGAUUAGCUAGUUGGUGAGGUAAUGGCUCACCAAGGCGACGAUCCGUAACUGGUCCGAGAGGAUGAUCAGUCACACUGGAACUGAGACACGGUCCAGACUCCUACGGGAGGCAGCAGUGGGGAAUAUUGGACAAUGGGCGAAAGCCUGAUCCAGCCAUGCCGCGUGUGUGAAGAAGGUCUUCGGAUGUAAACCACAUUGAGUUGGGAGGAAGGGCAGUUACCUAAUACGUGAUGUUUGACG
rnacentral:rRNA from 1 species